UACGAAGGGGCUAGCGUUGUUCGGAAUUAUCGUGGGCGUAAAGCGCGCGCAGGCGGUUCUUCCAAGAUCAUGUGGGUGAAAAGCCUGGAAGCUCAACUCCAGAACUGCCAUUGAAACUGUUAGACUUGAGUACGAGAGAGGUGAGUGGAAUUCCCAUGUGUAGAGGUGAAAUUCGUAGAUAUUGGAAGAACACCAGUGGCGAAGGCGGCUACUGGCUCGUAACU
rnacentral:rRNA from 1 species